rnacentral:miRNA from 1 species
GAAAGGUUACUGAGCACAGUGACUCAUGCCUGUUAUCUCAGCAACUGGGGAGGCUGAGGCAGGAGGAU